rnacentral:lncRNA from 1 species
AUUACCUCCUAAGCAUAAUCGAUUAUUCAACGUCAAAACUCAAAAUCUGGAAGUUAUGAGCAGAUAAUUGAUUAUCAUCAGGGAUUCUUGAGCAGAUAAUCGAUUCUUGCAAUUUCUGGGCAGCAAUUCUUGAGCAAAUAAUUGAUUAUCUCGAGCCAUAAUCGAUUAUCAUGCUAACAGUUUCAAAAAUAGAGCCGUUGGAGCAUCCCAUAACGGCCAUAAACGGCUAGUUCUUCCAUUUUUCUUAUAAAUAGCCCCCCAUAAUCGAUUAUUAGUCACUACUGCUGAAAUCAAAUCUAGAGCUAAAAUCCUCUCCAUUUCUCUUCACUUUCUCAAAGUCUCACUCCCUUAAACUUCCUUCAUGGCUAAUUCAAGAAGACAUUGCCGCAGAGCUGCUGGAGCGUCUUCUUCCUCUCAAUCACGUCCUACAACCAUAGAUGGAUGCAUUUCAG